GACGAACGCUGGCGGCGUGCCUAAUACAUGCAAGUCGAGCGAAUGAAUGGGAGCUUGCUCCUGUUCGUUAGCGGCGGACGGGUGAGUAACACGUGGGCAACCUGCCUGUAAGACUGGGAUAACUUCGGGAAACCGGAGCUAAUACCGGAUAGUUUCUUUCUUCACAUGAAGAAGGAUGGAAAGACGGUUUCGGCUGUCGCUUACAGAUGGGCCCGCGGCGCAUUAGCUAGUUGGUGAGGUAACGGCUCACCAAGGCGACGAUGCGUAGCCGACCUGGGAGGGUGAUCGGCCACACUGGGACUGAGACACGGCCCAGACUCCUACGGGGGGCUGCAGUCGAGAAUCUUCGGCAAUGGGCGCAAGCCUGACCGAGCGACGCCGCGUGGGGGAUGAAGGCCUUUGGGUUGUAAACCCCUGUCGAGGGGGAGGAAGGGCCGGUGCAGAGCCGGUCUUGACCGAUCCCUGGAGGAAGCACGGGCUAAGUUCGUGCCAGCCGCCGCGGUAACAC
rnacentral:rRNA from 1 species